AACGAACGCUGGCGGCAUGCCUAACACAUGCAAGUCGAACGCUCCGCAAGGGGAGUGGCGCACGGGUGAGUAACACGUGGGAACCUGCCUAUUGGUUCGGAACAACGUUUGGAAACGAACGCUAAUACCGGAUAUCCCCCGAGGGGGAAAGAUUUAUCGCCAAUAGAGGGGCCCGCGUCCGAUGAGGUAGUUGGUGGGGUAAAGGCCUACCAAGCCGACGAUCGGUAGCUGGGCUGAGAGGAUGGUCCGCCACACUGGGACUCAGACACGGCCGGGAGUCCUUAGUUAGGCAGCGGUGGGGAAUAUUGGAAAAUGGGCGGAAGCCUGAGUCAGCAAUGCCGCGUGAGUGAUGAACGCCUAAGGCUUCUAAAGCUCUUCCGCACGUGACGAUGAUGACGGUAACGUGAGAAGAAGCAUCGGCUAACCUCGUGCCAGCCGCCGCUGUAA
rnacentral:rRNA from 1 species